UACGGAAGGUCCUGGCGUUAUCCGGAUUUAUUGGGUUUAAAGGGAGCGCAGGCCGGCGAUUAAGAGUGACGUGAAAUGCCGCGGCUCAACCGUGGAAGUGCGUCGCGAACUGGUUGUCUUGAGUGGGAACGACGUAGGCGGAAUUCGUGGUGUAGCGGUGAAAUGCUUAGAUAUCACGAAGAACCCCGAUUGCGAAGGCAGCCUACGAGGCCCUUACUGACGCUAAAGCUCGAAGGUGCGGGUAUCGAAC
rnacentral:rRNA from 1 species